UGGUAAUGCCGGAUGCUCCGACUCCUCGCAUGGGGUGUCGGGAAAGAUUUCAUCGGUAUGGGAUGGGGUCGCGUCCUAUCAGGUAGUCGGCGGGGUAACGGCCCACCGAGCCUACGACGGGUAGCCGGCCUGAGAGGGCGACCGGCCACAUUGGGACUGAGAUACGGCCCAGACUCCUACGGGAGGCAGCAGUGGGGAAUAUUGCACAAUGGGCGCAAGCCUGAUGCAGCGACGCCGCGUGCGGGAUGACGGCCUUCGGGUUGUAAACCGCUUUUGAUCGGGAGCAAGCCUUCGGGUGAGUGUACCUUUCGAAUAAGCACCGGCUAACUACGUGCCAGCAGCCGCGGUAAUACGUAGGGUGCAAGCGUUAUCCGGAAUUAUUGGGCGUAAAGGGCUCGUAGGCGGUUCGUCGCGUCCGGUGUGAAAGUCCAUCGCUUAACGGUGGAUCUGCGCCGGGUACGGGCGGGCUGGAGUGCGGUAGGGGAGACUGGAAUUCCCGGUGUAACGGUGGAAUGUGUAGAUAUCGGGA
rnacentral:rRNA from 1 species